GGGUCAGUAGGUUGGUCGUGCCACCGGUACGUACUGGUCUCACUGAUUCCUCCUUCCUGAAGAACCGUAAUGCCAUUAAUUUGGUGUUGCGGGGAAACAGGACUGCUACUUUGAAAAAAUUAGAGUGUUUAAAGCAAGCUAACGCUUGAAUACAUUAGCAUGGAAUAAUGAAAUAGGACGAUCGAUCCUAUUUUGUUGGUUUCUAGGAUUGACGUU
rnacentral:rRNA from 1 species